rnacentral:lncRNA from 1 species
AAAUAAAAAAUUUCGGUUUUAUCCCACCGCCUCCCACGCUCUCUCUGUUUCUCGAGAGAGGAGCGGUGGGGCGUAGGGAGAAGAAGAAGAGAAGUAGAGGGAGAAGAGAAGAAGAGGGAAAAGAAGAGAGGAAGAAGAGGGAGAAGAGAAUAAAAGAAGAAGAAGAAGAGAGGGAAGAGGGAGAGGAAAGAGAGAUAGCUGCAGCAGCUAGGGUUGCAGCACCUCUGUUUCGUGUUGGAGGAAACAGAGGAAUCCAUGUGGGGCGUCGGGGAGUAGAAGGGAAGAAGAGGAGAAGAAGAGGAGAAGAAGAGAAGCAGAGGAAGAGAAGCAAAAGAAGAAGAAGAAGAAGAAAAGAGGAGGUGGCUGCGGCAAGGGCUGCAGCGAGGAGCUGUGGGGCGUUGGGGAGGAGAAAGGAAGAAGAGGAGAAGAAGAAAAGAAGAAGAGGGAAAAGAAGAGAGGAGGAAGAAGAGGGAGAAGAGAAGAAUAGAAGAAGAAGAAAAAGAGAGGGAAGUGGGAGAGGAGCGAGAGGUGGCAGCAGCUAGGGCUGCAGCACCUCUGUUUCCUGCAGGUGGAAACAGAGGAGAGGUGUGGGGCAUUCGAAGAGGAGAAGAAGAAGAAGAGGAAGAGAAGAAGAAGAGGAAGUAGGAAGAGGUUAUGAUACCUCUGUAUCUUGUAGAGGAAAUAGAGGAGGUGUGGGGUGUCGGGUAGGAGAAGGGAAGAAGAAGAAGGAGAAGAAGGAAAAUAAGAAGAAGAGGAAGAGAAGAAGUAGAAGCGGGUGAAGAGGCGUCACCUUUGUUUUCUGCAGGAGGAAACAGAGGAGAGGAGGUGCUAUUCGUCGGGGAGAAGAAGGGGAGGAAGGAGAAGAAGAGAAGAAGAAGAAAGGAAGGAGAAAGAAGAGGAGAAGGGAAAGAAGUAGCUGCGGCUGCGGUUGUGGCAGCUGCAGCUGUGGCAGGGAAAGAGUAAGAGGAAGGAAGAAGGGAAGGAGAGGAAGAAGAGAAGGGGAAGAAGGGGCUGCGGCUGUGGCGAUGGCAGCUGCAGUUGGAAGAGAAGAAGGAGAGGAAGAUGAGCAGGGGAGGAAGAAGAGGCUGCGGCCGUGGCUGAGGCUGCGACUGCAGCAGUGCAGCUGGGAAAGAUGAGAAGGAAAGGAAGAAGAAGAGAAAGGAAAAGGGAAGAAGAGAGGAAGAGGAGAAGGGGAGGCAGCUGCGGUAGUGGCAGCCGCAGCUGGAAGAGAAGGAGAGGAAACAGAGUAG